UACGAAGGGGGCUAGCGUUGCUCGGAAUCACUGGGCGUAAAGCGCACGUAGGCGGCUUUCUAAGUCAGGGGUGAAAUCCUGGAGCUCAACUCCAGAACUGCCUUUGAUACUGGAGAGCUUGAGUCCGGGAGAGGGGGGUGGAAUUCCCAGUGUAGCGGUGAAAUGCGUAGAUAUUGGGAGGAACACCGGUGGCGAAGGCGGCCCCCUGGACCGGUACUGACGCUGAGGCGCGAAAGCGUGGGUAGCAAACGGG
rnacentral:rRNA from 1 species